AGCAGCCGCGGUAAUUCCAGCUCCAAUAGCGUAUAUUAAAGUUGUUGCAGUUAAAAAGCUCGUAGUUGAAUUUCGGGAUCAAUAUGUUGGUCGUGCCUUGGUACGUACUGGCGUCAUUGGUUUCUACCUUCUGAAGAACCUCGAUGUCAUUAAUUGGUGUCUUGGGGAAUCAGGACUGUUACUUUGAAAAAAUUAGAGUGUUUAAAGCAGGCUCACGCUUGAAUACAUUAGCAUGGAAUAAUGAAAUAGGACGUUUUGAUUCUAUUUUGUUGGUUUCUAGGAUCGACGUAAUGAUUAAUAGGGAUAGUUGGGGGCAUUAGUAUUCAAUUGUCAGAGGUGAAAUUCUUGGAUUUAUGAAGACUAACUACUGCGAAAGCAUUUGCCAAGGAUGUUUUCAUUAAUCAAGAACGAAAGUUAGGGGAUCGAAGACGAUCAGAUACCGUCGUAGUCUUAACCAUAAACUAUGCCGACUAGGGAUCGGAUGAUGUUAAUUUUUAAUGACUCAUUCGGCGCCUUACGGG
rnacentral:rRNA from 1 species